UACGUAGGGUGCAAGCGUUAAUCGGAAUUACUGGGCGUAAAGCGUGCGCAGGCGGUUUCGUAAGACAGAUGUGAAAUCCCCGGGCUUAACCUGGGAAUUGCAUUUGUGACUGCGGAACUAGAGUUUGGCAGAGGGAGGUGGAAUUCCAAGUGUAGCAGUGAAAUGCGUAGAUAUUUGGAAGAACACCGAUGGCGAAGGCAGCCUCCUGGGCCAAGACUGACGCUCAUGCACGAAAGCGUGGGGAGCAAACAGG
rnacentral:rRNA from 1 species